rnacentral:sRNA from 1 species
AUGGGUCGCCGUCGAUCGUGACCUGAUGCGGUCGGAAAUUCCAGCCCGUCCUGCUCGACUCCUUGUAACUCCUUGCAACUCAGUUACCGGCUACGAUUUCGUGGCUAAAUCAAUACCCAUAGUUCCAAGGAGAACUUGCAAUGUCCCGUCAGAACGGCACCGUUAAGUGGUUCAACGAAACCAAAGGCUACGGCUUCAUUACCCCGGAAAGCGGCCCGGACGUUUUCGUUCACUUCCGUGCCAUCGAAGGUAACGGCUUCAAGACCCUGGCCGAAGGCCAGAAGGUCAGCUUCGAAGUCGUACAAGGCCAGAAAGGCAUGCAGGCCGAGCGCGUUCAGGUGAUCAACUAAGAUCCCUGGGCCCCAGCCCGAAGAACCCGGAUGGAAGCAUCCGGGUUUUUUAU